GACGAACGCUGGCGGCGUGCUUAACACAUGCAAGUCGAACGGAAAGGCCCUGCUUUUGUGGGGUGCUCGAGUGGCGAACGGGAGAGUAACACGUGAGUAACCUGCCCUUGACUUUGGGAUAACUUCAGGAAACUGGGGCUAAUACCGGAUAGGAGCUCCUGCUGCAUGGUGGGGGUUGGAAAGUUUCGGCGGUUGGGGAUGGACUCGCGGCUUAUCAGCUUGUUGGUGGGGUAGUGGCUUACCAAGGCUUUGACGGGUAGCCGGCCUGAGAGGGUGACCGGCCACAUUGGGACUGAGAUACGGCGCAGACUCCUACGGGAGGCAGCAGUGGGGAAUAUUGCACAAUGGGCGGAAGCCUGAUGCAGCAACGCCGCGUGCGGGAUGACGGCCUUCGGGUUGUAAACCGCUUUCGCCUGUGACGAAGCGUGAGUGACGGUAAUGGGUAAAGAAGCACCGGCUAACUACGUG
rnacentral:rRNA from 1 species